UACGGAGGGUGCAAGCGUUAUCCGGAUUCACUGGGUUUAAAGGGUGCGUAGGUGGCUUUGUAAGUCAGUGGUGAAAUCUCGGAGCUUAACUCCGAAACUGCCAUUGAUACUGCUUAGCUUGAAUCAGGUAGAGGUGGAUGGAAUAUUACAUGUAGCGGUGAAAUGCGUAGAUAUGUAAUAGAACACCGAUUGCGAAGGCAGUUCACUAGGCCGGCAUUGACACUGAGGCACGAAAGCGUGGGGAGCAAACAGG
rnacentral:rRNA from 1 species